GGGACCAUAGUUUAGUGGCAAAACCCAUGCCUGUCACGCAUGAGUCGCGGGUUCAAUUCCCGCUGGUCCCG
rnacentral:tRNA from 1 species